rnacentral:rRNA from 1 species
GAUGAACGCUGGCGGCGUGCUUAACACAUGCAAGUCGAACGGAAAGGCUCCUGCUUGCAGUGGUACUCGAGUGGCGAACGUGUGAGUAACACGUGGGUGAUCUUCCCUGCACUUCGGGAUAUGCUUGGGAAACUGGUUCUAAUACCUGAUAGGACCGCAUUUUGGAUGGUGUGGUGGAAAGUUUUUUCGGUGUGGGAUGAGCUCGCGGCCUAUCAGCUUGUUGGUGGGGUAAUGGCCUACCAAGGCGUCGACGGGUAUCCGGCCUGAGAGGGUGUACGGCCACAUUGGGACUGAGAUACGGACCAGACGCGUACGGGAGGCAGCAGUGGGGAGUAUUGCACAAUGGGCGCAAGACUGAGGAAGAGACGCCGGGUGGGGGAAGAAGGCCUUCGGGUUGUAAACUGCUUUCGCUAGGGACGAAGAGUAAUUGACGGUACCUGGAGAAGAAGCACCGGCUAACUACGUG